rnacentral:rRNA from 1 species
AAUGAACGCUGGCGGCAUGCCUAACACAUGCAAGUCGAACGAAGGCUUCGGCCUUAGUGGCGCACGGGUGCGUAACGCGUGGGAAUCUGCCCUUGGGUUCGGAAUAACAGUUAGAAAUGACUGCUAAUACCGGAUGAUGUCGUAAGACCAAAGAUUUAUCGCCCAGGGAUGAGCCCGCGUAGGAUUAGCUAGUUGGUGAGGUAAAAGCUCACCAAGGCGACGAUCCUUAGCUGGUCUGAGAGGAUGAUCAGCCACACUGGGACUGAGACACGGCCCAGACUCCUACGGGAGGCAGCAGUGGGGAAUAUUGGACAAUGGGCGAAAGCCUGAUCCAGCAAUGCCGCGUGAGUGAUGAAGGCCUUAGGGUUGUAAAGCUCUUUUACCCGGGAUGAUAAUGACAGUACCGGGAGAAUAAGCUCCGGCUAACUUCGUGCCAGCCGCCGCCGUAAGAC